AAAAUUUUGAUCUUGUGAUCUCGCCGUCGUCGACGAGAAUCGGUCGCCGGAGAUCUCGUCGGAUCCAUCGCUGGAGUGUAACAGAAAGCUAGGAUCCAGAUUUGGCUUGAAGGAUUUAAGGAUUGAAGGAAGAAUCACUGUAAGUGAUUCAUCUUUGAUCCGUUUUCUCUUUAGGGAUUUUGCUGCAACGGCACUGUGGUUCAGGAUUCAGAACUUGGACAGGCUUUGUUUAUUUGUCUCUAAAGGUUCUGGAUUCAACUUCUGAACAAGGUAGUAGUCCACAAGAAGGAUCUUUCUUACGUCCCAAACCGGAGGUUGUUGAAGCUGAAUAAUGUUGUGUGCCUCAUUGAUCUCUUGAUGUAAGAAGCUGAAUAAUGUUGUGUGCAGAUUGGGACAAAGCAAUGGCGUUACUAUGACAAAACCAAACUCUCUUUUUCAAACUCUACUUUGAUUAAUAUGAGAAUGUAGCUAUUUAUUAUUUGU
rnacentral:sRNA from 1 species